rnacentral:rRNA from 1 species
CCCUGCUUUUGUGGGGUGCUCGAGUGGCGAACGGGUGAGUAACACGUGAGUAACCUGCCCUUGACUUUGGGAUAACUUCAGGAAACUGGGGCUAAUACCGGAUAGGAGCUCCUGCUGCAUGGUGGGGGUUGGAAAGUUUCGGCGGUUGGGGAUGGACUCGCGGCUUAUCAGCUUGUUGGUGGGGUAGUGGCUUACCAAGGCUUUGACGGGUAGCCGGCCUGAGAGGGUGACCGGCCACAUUGGGACUGAGAUACGGCCCAGACUCCUACGGGAGGCAGCAGUGGGGAAUAUUGCACAAUGGGCGGAAGCCUGAUGCAGCAACGCCGCGUGCGGGAUGACGGCCUUCGGGUUGUAAGCCGCUUUCGCCUGUGACGAAGCGUGAGUGACGGUAAUGGGUAAAGAAGCACCGGCUAACUACGUGCCAGCAGCCGCGGUGAUACGUAGGGUGCGAGCGUUGUCCGGAUUUAUUGGGCGUAAAGGGCUCGUAGGUGGUUGAUCGCGUCGGAAGUGUAAUCUUGGGGCUUAACCCUGAGCGUGCUUUCGAUACGGGUUGACUUGAGGAAGGUAGGGGAGAAUGGAAUUCCUGGUGGAGCGGUGGAAUGCGCAGAUAUCAGGAGGAACACCAGUGGCGAAGGCGGUUCUCUGGGCCUUUCCUGACGCUGAGGAGCGAAAGCGUGGGGAGCGAACAGGCUUAGAUACCCUGGUAGUCCACGCUGUAAACGGUGGGUACUAGGUGUGGGGUCCAUUCCACGGGUUCCGUGCCGUAGCUAACGCUUUAAGUACCCCGCCUGGGGAGUACGGCCGCAAGGCUAAAACUCAAAGGAAUUGACGGGGCCCCGCACAAGCGGCGGAGCAUGCGGAUUAAUUCGAUGCAACGCGUAGAACCUUACCUGGGUUUGACAUGGAUCGGGAGUGCUCAGAGAUGGGUGUGCCUCUUUUGGGGUCGGUUCACAGGUGGUGCAUGCCUGUCGUCAGCUCGUGUCGUGAGAUGUUGGGUUAAGUCCCGCAACGAGCGCAACCCUUGUUCACUGUUGCCAGCACGUUAUGGUGGGGACUCAGUGGAGACCGCCGGGGUCAAC